GGGUUGUGAGGUUAAGCGACUAAGCGUACACGGUGGAUGCCCUGGCAGUCAGAGGCGAUGAAGGGCGUGCUAAUCUGCGAUAAGCGCCGGUAAGGUGAUAUGAACCGUUAUAACCGGCGAUACCCGAAUGGGGAAACCCAGUGUGAUUCGUCACACUAUCAUUAACUGAAUCCAUAGGUUAAUGAGGCGAACCGGGGGAACUGAAACAUCUAAGUACCCCGAGGAAAAGAAAUCAACCGAGAUUCCCCCAGUAGCGGCGAGCGAACGGGGAGGAGCCCAGAGCCUGAAUCAGCAUGUGUGUUAGUGGAAGCGUCUGGAAAGGUGCGCGAUACAGGGUGACAGCCCCGUACACAAAAGCGCAUGUGCUGUGAGCUCGAUGAGUAGGGCGGGACACGUGAUAUCCUGUCUGAAUAUGGGGGGACCAUCCUCCAAGGCUAAAUACUCCUGACUGACCGAUAGUGAACCAGUACCGUGAGGGAAAGGCGAAAAGAACCCCGGCGAGGGGAGUGAAAAAGAACCUGAAACCGUGUACGUACAAGCAGUGGGAGCACAGGUUUACCUGUGUGACUGCGUACCUUUUGUAUAAUGGGUCAGCGACUUAUAUUCUGUAGCAAGGUUAACCGUAUAGGGGAGCCGUAGGGAAACCGAGUCUUAACCGGGCGUUAAGUUGCAGGGUAUAGACCCGAAACCCGGUGAUCUAGCCAUGGGCAGGUUGAAGGUUGGGUAACACUAACUGGAGGACCGAACCGACUAAUGUUGAAAAAUUAGCGGAUGACCUGUGGCUGGGGGUGAAAGGCCAAUCAAACCGGGAGAUAGCUGGUUCUCCCCGAAAGCUAUUUAGGUAGCGCCUCGUGAAUUCAUCUCCGGGGGUAGAGCACUGUUUCGGCUAGGGGGCCAUCCCGGCUUACCAACCCGAUGCAAACUGCGAAUACCGGAGAAUGUUAUCACGGGAGACACACGGCGGGUGCUAACGUCCGUCGUGAAGAGGGAAACAACCCAGACCGCCAGCUAAGGUCCCAAAGUCAUGGUUAAGUGGGAAACGAUGUGGGAAGGCCCAGACAGCCAGGAUGUUGGCUUAGAAGCAGCCAUCAUUUAAAGAAAGCGUAAUAGCUCACUGGUCGAGUCGGCCUGCGCGGAAGAUGUAACGGGGCUAAACCAUGCACCGAAGCUGCGGCAGCGAACGUAUCACCCAAGACAACUUUACGGAGUUGACGAUUGACGGAGCGAAGCGACGUCAAAGCGUUCAUUAAAGUCGAGUUGGCUUAGGGAUACGUUCGUUGGGUAGGGGAGCGUUCUGUAAGCCUGUGAAGGUGUGUCGUGAGGCAUGCUGGAGGUAUCAGAAGUGCGAAUGCUGACAUAAGUAACGAUAAAGCGGGUGAAAAGCCCGCUCGCCGGAAGACCAAGGGUUCCUGUCCAACGUUAAUCGGGGCAGGGUGAGUCGACCCCUAAGGCGAGGCCGAAAGGCGUAGUCGAUGGAAACGGGUUAAUAUUCCCGUACUUGGUGUUACUGCGAAGGGGGGACGGAGAAGGCUAUGUUGGCCGGGCGACGGUUGUCCCGGUUUAAGCGUGUAGGUGUGUGUUCCAGGUAAAUCCGGUUCACUUUAACACUGAGGCGUGACGACGAGGCACUACGGUGCUGAAGCAACAAAUGCCCUGCUUCCAGGAAAAGCCUCUAAGCAUCAGGUAACAUCAAAUCGUACCCCAAACCGACACAGGUGGUCAGGUAGAGAAUACCAAGGCGCUUGAGAGAACUCGGGUGAAGGAACUAGGCAAAAUGGUGCCGUAACUUCGGGAGAAGGCACGCUGACACGUAGGUGAAGUGAUUUACUCAUGGAGCUGAAGUCAGUCGAAGAUACCAGCUGGCUGCAACUGUUUAUUAAAACACAGCACUGUGCAAACACGAAAGUGGACGUAUACGGUGUGACGCCUGCCCGGUGCCGGAAGGUUAAUUGAUGGGGUCAGCGCAAGCGAAGCUCCUGAUCGAAGCCCCGGUAAACGGCGGCCGUAACUAUAACGGUCCUAAGGUAGCGAAAUUCCUUGUCGGGUAAGUUCCGACCUGCACGAAUGGCGUAAUGAUGGCCAGGCUGUCUCCACCCGAGACUCAGUGAAAUUGAACUCGCUGUGAAGAUGCAGUGUACCCGCGGCAAGACGGAAAGACCCCGUGAACCUUUACUAUAGCUUGACACUGAACAUUGAGCCUUGAUGUGUAGGAUAGGUGGGAGGCUUUGAAGUGUGGACGCCAGUCUGCAUGGAGCCGACCUUGAAAUACCACCCUUUAAUGUUUGAUGUUCUAACGUGGACCCGUAAUCCGGGUUGCGGACAGUGUCUGGUGGGUAGUUUGACUGGGGCGGUCUCCUCCUAAAGAGUAACGGAGGAGCACGAAGGUUGGCUAAUCCUGGUCGGACAUCAGGAGGUUAGUGCAAUGGCAUAAGCCAGCUUGACUGCGAGCGUGACGGCGCGAGCAGGUGCGAAAGCAGGUCAUAGUGAUCCGGUGGUUCUGAAUGGAAGGCCAUCGCUCAACGGAUAAAAGGUACUCCGGGGAUAACAGGCUGAUACCGCCCAAGAGUUCAUAUCGACGGCGGUGUUUGGCACCUCGAUGUCGGCUCAUCACAUCCUGGGGCUGAAGUAGGUCCCAAGGGUAUGGCUGUUCGCCAUUUAAAGUGGUACGCGAGCUGGGUUUAGAACGUCGUGAGACAGUUCGGUCCCUAUCUGCCGUGGGCGCUGGAGAACUGAGGGGGGCUGCUCCUAGUACGAGAGGACCGGAGUGGACGCAUCACUGGUGUUCGGGUUGUCAUGCCAAUGGCACUGCCCGGUAGCUAAAUGCGGAAGAGAUAAGUGCUGAAAGCAUCUAAGCACGAAACUUGCCCCGAGAUGAGUUCUCCCUGAGACUUAGAGUCUCCUGAAGGAACGUUGAAGACGACGACGUUGAUAGGCCGGGUGUGUAAGCGCAGCGAUGCGUUGAGCUAACCGGUACUAAUGAACCGUGAGGCUUAACCUUACAACGCCGAAG
rnacentral:rRNA from 2 species